AAGUACCGCAAUCGAUUCGCGUUACGCAGACAAUUCAGCGCGUCGUAUUGAUUCGGUCGCCACACAGACGGCACACGUCGAAUUCGUAUAGCCUGAUUUACAAGGCGUAAGUGUUGUUGUUCUUGCAGUGGAAGUGAUAUUCACUGGAGAAGGGUUCGGACAGCCGAUCUUGGUAGGAAAAUGGAAAACAAACCGAAAGUAUGCCGGCGUUUAAGAUUUGACGACGUGGAGAGUACGAACGCCGCUGCUGUCGAACCCAGUGAAGGCGCACCGGAAGGGGACAAUGCGCACGCACACACUAUGGAGGAAGAAAUGCUCCGGCACUUGCAAGCUGGAAAACUGCGGUGGAAUUUCGACUUCCUGAAUGACUGUCCCUUGUCGGGACGAUGGCAGUGGGAGAAAGUGGGGCCGUCUGAGCCCCCGAUGGCGGAGAAUUGAGGAACAAGACCGGUGGCUGCGAGACGACCACAAGAAUCGGUACUCAGAAUCAGGGACAGGUGGAAAUUUAUAAAACCUUAGAAGCAAGUAUCUGACAAUCAGCGUGUCUUUAUGAAGGAAGCAUUAUUAUUUGUUAUGAUUCAGCCUUUCACAGUUUUACGUAGUACCAAAUAAUGUUGGAAGAGAAUUAUGUUUUGUUAUAAUCUUUCUGUUUCAGAGUUUAUGCACAGAUUUUUAAAAUUGUUCUGUAAGGGGUAGAUUAGGUUCGGCAGUUACUGUUUUUUUUAUUAUAACGGCUGUGAACAACCUAAGAUUAUUUAUAUUUAACACGUAUUAUUAAAUUUGGUAAUAACCAAAUCUUAACAGCUAAUAGCCAAAGUUUUGUUAUAAUUAGAAACUAUUGUUUAUCUUGUUCAUAGAACCAAUAAGCUAUUCUGUGUGUGUGUGUGUGUGUGUGUGUGUGCGUGCCUUGGAAGCCAGAGGGCAACGGCAAGAUGCCUCUUACAACUGUGUGUUUCUCAUUGAAUGAAGUUUUUGCGUGUUCAGAACUCUUUAUAGUUGCAGCGACUGACGUUGUAAUGUGACUGUACACAUGUUUCCACAGCGCACAUUUAGUGUCCUGCCUCUCUUCAGACCGGGUUCCGAACUCAGGUACGGGGAAACUGUACAUCAAUUUAAGAAAACCGGAACACAAACAAUUUAAAUUCUUGUGGAAACACGAGGUUCGCUAGAAAUUCAACACAUUCAUUACAUUACAAAAUUUAUUAAUAUAUUUUAAUUUGCAGGAUUAGCUACUGACAGAUAAGAGCUGUUAUGGAGCUAGUAGUUACACGAUUAUCAUGUAAAAGUUUGGAAACUUUAUUUAACAUGACAGCGUUAACGGGCAACUAGGUUUAAGACGCAUAAAGCUGAUAAUGAUGAAUUAUCAAAAAUAGCUUACAAUUUCAAUGUUUUGCCGCUAGAAGUCCCGCAGUUCGCGCCACUGUACCUUGAACUUCAUAUAUCGCACGUUAAAUCAUGAAAUGUGUACAAUGUAAAUUAAAAGCGCACGUCUCCUGUUUAUGGGAUUCGACUUCGUGACCUACAAAUUUCCAGAGGAGGUCUACUCUUCCACAGUGCGAAGUACAAAUCAGAAUUUCUUUGCGAGAAGAAAGUUGCAGACUUGUGCAGUAAAACAUGUGUACAGGCACAGACGAACACUUUCAGUAAGAGGAAAUGUAAGCUGUUCGACUUCGUAGAUUUUUAUUUUUCUUGAGAACUGUAGCUAUAUGUAAUUAUUUGGUUGUGGGAAUUUUCAGGGACAGUGUCAGCAACUUUAUAACACAAACUGAUUUUGCAGUGUUAUCAUACACACAUCUGUUAUGUUAGGUCUCAUAGGUAAUCUCACAAGCUUCUGUAAUAAAUUAAUAUCAGUAAAUCCCAGAAAAUUUC